UGGCGAAGUUUGAGACUUCAGAGACACCUCCGAGAGUUACGCACGUUUUUUCGGCCACACGGUUAUUGGUAUUUGACCUGCUCUUUGCUAACAACCUGCUCUUUGGAUUGCUUUCCAAUUCACAUUUGCUGCAGUUUCUAAAUUCGUUCUACAUUUGUUUGUUCUCCUGCUACCGGACCUCCGCCUGCCUGACUACUCGAUCCUCGCCUAGCCCCCACCUGCACGAUCGCCCUCCCGGCUCCAGACCCCCCCGCCUGCCUGACUACCCGAUCCUCGCCUAGCCCCUCCAGCACGAUCGCCCUCCCGGUUCCUGACCCCCGCCUGCCUGACUUCCCGUCCACCGUCCAGCCCGUGACCACCUGAUUGCCAGCCCGUUACCAGACCCCCGCCUGCCUGACUUCCCGAACGCUCCACGAAUAAAUUCCUUUGCCUUUACCCUGUCUCCGCCUCCCUGCGUCCUGCACUUGGGUCCCAGUAACCCGUACCGUAACAGGUAAACAGAGUGGUAAACAGAGACCCACCGUGGAGAUACCCUUGGAGGCAAUAGGAGGUGACGUAAUUCCCGCCCAUACGCUGAUUGGCUGAUACCUUUGCCACUUUGCAUAUAGACUUUUUGGAAAACGUUUUGGAUUCCGUUUUGGAAAACGUUUUGGAUUCCGUUUUGCCAAAUCUUUUGCAAAGCGUUCGUUUUGCGGAUUGAAAUGUCAUUUGAAUAUCGCAACACACGGAGCGUGUCGAAGUGGAUUGCAAUCACGGGGACGCUAUAGCUUUUCAAUUUGAAUAAAGGAACUCAAAGAAUUUGACAAAAUGUUAUUCGAUUUGUAUUGUUAUAACUUUUGCAAAUUUAAUUGAGGAUUGCAUUGUCACUUUACAUAUUAAAAUACACUUUGAAUAACGUAUUUACAAAUUACAUUAUAAAAUUGCAUAAUGAAUUGUCAAUUGCAUAAUGUAAUGACAUUUGAAUUGCAAAUUGCAUU
ensembl:lncRNA